rnacentral:rRNA from 1 species
CCUACGGGAGGCAGCAGUGGGGAAUAUUGCACAAUGGGGGAAACCCUGAUGCAGCGACGCCGCGUGAGUGAUGAAGUAUCUCGGUACGUAAAGCCCUAUCAGCAGGGAAGAUAAUGACGGUAUCUGACCAAUAAGCCCCGGCUAACUCCGUGCCAGCAGCCGCGGUAAUACGUAGGGGGCAAGCGUUAUCCGGAUUUACUGGGUGUAAAGGGAGCGUAGACGGCAGAACAAGUCUGGAGUGAAAUCCUGUGGCUUAACCCCGGAACUGCUUUGGAAACUGUGAGGCUAGAGUGCGGGAGGGGUAAGCGGAAUUCCUAGUGUAGCGGUAAAAUGCGUAGAUAUUAGGAGGAACACCGAUGGCGAAGGCGACUUACUGGACUGUAACUGACGUUGAGGCUCGAAAGCGUGGGGAGCAAACAGGAUUAGAUACCCCUGUAGUC